CUCCUCGGGAUAAUUCAUUGCGACGGAAAAACGCGGACAUAAUAUAUUUCCCACCUUACGGGCAUGUACCUUAUAAGGUGCAACCUCUCGGGGCCCUCGAACCGUGGGUAUAUAAUAAUAGUAUUUUAUUAUUAUUUUCAAAUCGAAAGCGAUAAUAAAUCAUUGGGUUCGGAAAACGAUAAAUUUCAUAUCGCUAGCGGAGUUUUGAAUACUUGCAAUAAUUUUGACUACGAUGA